GCACUCGUAGCUCAGCGGAUAGAGCAUCAGCUUGCGGAGCUGGGGGUCGCAGGUUCAAAUCCUGCCGAGUGCA
rnacentral:tRNA from 2 species